ensembl:lncRNA
AUGGACAGCUAUCCAUCACAUGACAGGCCAGACCCCUCCCACCUUGUAGGUGGCAACGCUCCACUGGCGGACUCUCUCCAGGUUCUCGCUGGCCGGGUUCUUGUUGUUUGCUCGGACCACCACGGGUCCUCUUUUCGGCGGCGGCGCUGGGACGCCUGGAGGUCAAAGCUGGACAGGAAGCGGCGUCGCCGUCCGCGUGGUUGUAGUUUGUGUUUGUGUCCUGCGGAAAAUCAAGAGAGGCGUAGAAGGAGGUCAGAUCGUUCUGUUGGUCCCAAGAGGUCACGACGAGAGAGAAAAGCUCCACCUCGACAAAACGUUCCUGGAACCGGAUCAUCGGCAGUAAACCGACAGCACAGAGGUCAGAGGUCGGGAAAUCAAAGCGCCGUGACGACGCAUCGGACGGAUCACCGUGGGAAACGGAACCGCAGCUUGUCGGCGGGCCAAUCAGCACCCGGAUCAAAAGGCUCCCUGCCGCGGUUGGCAGCAGGUGGAGGAGGUCAGAGGUCACUGGAACAGUCAAGAGCCAGGAAAUGGUCACCUGACGCAGAUGAGAGGUGA